rnacentral:tRNA from 1 species
AUUUAUAUAGUUUAAUAAAAACAUUACAUUUUCAAUGUAAAAUUGAACAUUUCUUCUUUAAAUA